rnacentral:rRNA from 1 species
UGGGGGAUUUUGGACAAUGGGGGAAACCCUGAUCCAGCCAUCCCGCGUGUGCGAUGAAGGCCUUCGGGUUGUAAAGCACUUUUGGCAGGAAAGAAACGUCAUGGGUUAAUACCCCGUGAAACUGACGGUACCUGCAGAAUAAGCACCGGCUAACUACGUGCCAGCAGCCGCGGUAAUACGUAGGGUGCAAGCGUUAAUCGGAAUUACUGGGCGUAAAGCGUGCGCAGGCGGUUCGGAAAGAAAGAUGUGAAAUCCCAGAGCUCAACUUUGGAACUGCAUUUUUAACUACCGGGCUAGAGUGUGUCAGAGGGAGGUGGAAUUCCGCGUGUAGCAGUGAAAUGCGUAGAUAUGCGGAGGAACACCGAUGGCGAAGGCAGCCUCCUGGGAUAACACUGACGCUCAUGCACGAAAGCGUGGGGAGCAAACAGG